GUGCACCAGUCGCGAAUACUUUACAAUGUGCGAAAGCACGAUAAGGGAACUCUGAGUGCCUCCUAAGGAGGCUGUUCAGGUGUCUAAAAGCACCUGAAGGAAGGGCUGGGUAAGACCGGUGCCAGCCGCCGCGGUAACACCGGCAGCCCAAGUGGUAGCCACGUUUAUUGGGUCUAAAGCGUCCGUAGCCGGCUGGGUAAGUUCCUUGGGAAAUUUGGCUGCUUAACAGUCAAGCUUUCAGGGAAUACUGCCCGGCUUGGGACCGGGAGAGGUCAGAGGUACUCCAGGGGUAGGGGUGAAAUCCAUUAAUCCUUGGGGGACCACCGGUAGCGAAGGCGUCUGACCAGACCGGGUCCGACGGUGAGGGACGAAGGCUAGGGGCGCGAACCGGAUUA
rnacentral:rRNA from 1 species